AACAUGGAAGUCCCGGAACCAACAAAAACAGAAAGAGAUCAGUUCAGACCUUCAAAGAGGAGAAUUUCUUCGAUCUUGAAGGCGCCUCGGACUCCGCUGAAAUCUAUUGGCUCAGAUAACGAAGACGCUCAGG